rnacentral:rRNA from 1 species
CUACGCACUCCUACGGGAGGCAGCAGUGGGGAAUAUUGGACAAUGGGCGCAAGCCUGAUCCAGCCAUGCCGCGUGAGUGAUGAAGGCCCUAGGGUUGUAAAGCUCUUUUGUGCGGGAAGAUAAUGACGGUACCGCAAGAAUAAGCCCCGGCUAACUUCGUGCCAGCAGCCGCGGUAAUACGAAGGGGGCUAGCGUUGCUCGGAAUCACUGGGCGUAAAGGGUGCGUAGGCGGGGUCUUUAAGUCAGGGGUGAAAUCCUGGAGCUCAACUCCAGAACUGCCUUUGAUACUGAAGAUCUUGAGUUCGGGAGAGGUGAGUGGAACUGCGAGUGUAGAGGUGAAAUUCGUAGAUAUUCGCAAGAACACCAGUGGCGAAGGCGGCUCACUGGCCCGAUACUGACGCUGAGGCACGAAAGCGUGGGGAGCAAACAGGAUUAGAUACCCUGGUAG